GAUGAACGCUGGCGGCGUGCUUAACACAUGCAAGUCGAACGGGAUCCAUCAGGCUUUGCUUGGUGGUGAGAGUGGCGAACGGGUGAGUAAUGCGUGACCGACCUGCCCCAUACACCGGAAUAGCUCCUGGAAACGGGUGGUAAUGCCGGAUGCUCCGACUCCUCGCAUGGGGUGUCGGGAAAGAUUUCAUCGGUAUGGGAUGGGGUCGCGUCCUAUCAGGUAGUCGGCGGGGUAACGGCCCACCGAGCCUACGACGGGUAGCCGGCCUGAGAGGGCGACCGGCCACAUUGGGACUGAGAUACGGCACAGACUCCUACGGGAGGCAGCAGUGGGGAAUAUUGCACCAUGGGCGCAAGCCUGAUGCAGCGACGCCGCGUGCGGGAUGACGGCCUUCGGGUUGUAAACCGCUUUUGAUCGGGAGCAAGCCUUCGGGUGAGUGUACCCGUUGAAUAAGCACCGGCUAACUACGUGCCAGCCACCGCGGUAA
rnacentral:rRNA from 1 species